CCUACGGGAGGCAGCAGUCGAGAAUCAUUCACAAUGGGGGAAACCCUGAUGGUGCGACGCCGCGUGGGGGAAUGAAGGUCUUCGGAUUGUAAACCCCUGUCAUGUGGGAGCAAAUUAAAAAGAUAGUACCACAAGAGGAAGAGACGGCUAACUCUGUGCCAGCAGCCGCGGUAAUACAGAGGUCUCAAGCGUUGUUCGGAAUCACUGGGCGUAAAGCGUGCGUAGGCUGUUUCGUAAGUCGUGUGUGAAAGGCGCGGGCUCAACCCGCGGACGGCACAUGAUACUGGGAGACUAGAGUAAGGGAGGGGGAACCGGAAUGCUCGGUGUAGCAGUGAAAUGCGUAGAUAUCGAGAGGAACACUCGUGGCGAAGGCGGGUUCCUGGACAUUAACUGACGCUGAGGCACGAAGGCCAGGGGAGCGAAAGGGAUUAGAUACCCUUGUAGUC
rnacentral:rRNA from 1 species